GCCUGGCUGGCUCAGUCAGUAGAGCAUGCGACUCUUGAUCUCGGGGUUGUGAGUUCGAGCCCCACAUUGGGUG
rnacentral:tRNA from 1 species